rnacentral:rRNA from 1 species
UACGGAAGGCAGCAGUGGGGAAUAUUGCACAAUGGGCGCAAGCCUGAUGCAGCCAUGCCGCGUGUAUGAAGAAGGCCUUCGGGUUGUAAAGUACUUUCAGUCGUGAGGAAGGUGUUAAGGUUAAUAACCUUAGCAAUUGACGUUAGCGACAGAAGAAGCACCGGCUAACUCCGUGCCAGCAGCCGCGGUAAUACGGAGGGUGCGAGCGUUAAUCGGAAUUACUGGGCGUAAAGGGCACGCAGGCGGUUAAUUAAGUUGGAUGUGAAAUCCCCGGGCUUAACCUGGGAAUGGCAUUCAAGACUGGUUAGCUAGAGUCUUGUAGAGGGGGUAGAAUUCCAUGUGUAGCGGUGAAAUGCGUAGAGAUGUGGAGGAAUACCGGUGGCGAAGGCGGCCCCUGGGACAAAGACUGACGCUCAUGUGCGAAAGCGUGGGGAGCAAACAGGGAUUAGAU